UACGUAGGGUGCGAGCGUUAAUCGGAAUUACUGGGCGUAAAGUGUGCGCAGGCGGCGCGUUAAGACAGGUGUGAAAGCCCCGAGCUUAACUUGGGAAUUGCGCUUGUGACUGGCGUGCUGGAGUGUGGCAGAGGGAGGUGGAAUUCCACGUGUAGCAGUGAAAUGCGUAGAGAUGCGGAGGAACACCGAUGGCGAAGGCAAUCCCCUGGGCCUGCACUGACGCUCAUGCACGAAAGCGUGGGGAGCAAACAGG
rnacentral:rRNA from 1 species